AUACUUCCUUGGACGAGGUUUAUGGGCAAUCAAGAAGACUUAUGACCUAGCCCAAUGACCUCCAUUGCACUUUGGAGGGGCAUUGGUCUACCAUCUCCCUAAGUUGGGAGAGUGAAUGUCAUAAUUUGUGGUUGCGAAUUUGUGGUUGCGGGGUACACGUUCGC